rnacentral:lncRNA from 1 species
AUGGUGUUGGCACACGGGCCAGGGGGGUCAGGGAGCAGGGCAGGGCCGGGCAGCACAGCCUACCUUGGCACAGGGGCCCAAAGGCUCCCGGGGCACAGAGCUCACAGGCCGUGCCGGCGAAGCGCGUGUGGCACCUGCACUCCCCGCUGCCACUCAUGCCGUCCAUGCACGAGCCGCGCUGGUUACAGGGGCUGCUGGCGCCGCCAGGGCAAGCUCAGGGAGGGGAUGAGGAGAGAGGUGAGGUCAGGCCUCGUCAGGAGCCCCGCACAUGCACCCCCAGCCCCCGUGCCCUGGAGAACACCUGGACCCCUAGCCCAGUCCACCAGGUCCUGUUCCACCUACACCCCCACCUCUGCUCAAAACACACUCUCCUGCAGGUCCACUCACCCCAGCCUGACCACCCUGAGCCCCUUGCUGUGCUCCCAGCCGUCUUGGGGGCUGGGAGGCCCGGGCGGCAGAGUCUGCAGCCUCGGGACACUCACCUCGGCACUCGCUGCCGUAGUGACCAGGGCAGCAGCUGGGCUUCCAGGUGGUGGUGACACAGUUGCGGUAGCAGCCCCUGCCCAGGCCUUGGGGGUGACCCCAGUGGCUGGGCCGGGUCCACACACUGCGCAGGGCCAAGGAGUGCAGCGGAGGGGACGUCCAGAACUUGGAGAAGUAGCGCCAGCAGGCCUCAGGGCUGCCCUGGGCCAAGAGGGAUCGGGCUGCAAACCUGCGCCUGUUGGGCCCUGCCCAACCCCACCACCUAGUGCCCAGCCCCUUACCUGCUCCUGUGAGCCCGGAGGGCAGGGGGGUUCCAGCCCACAAAUGCUGCAAACCUUCUGCAAGGAGAGGAAGGCAACACGGCAAGUCGAGUGGGUGGACAGGACAGUGCCAAGUGGCCUUGGCACCCCCUCCGCGUCUGGCCUGUGGCCUCCCUCACCAGCCACAGCGGUCGGGUCUCGAAGCGGUCACAGCGGGCACCAAGGCCAGGCGGCUCCAGCAGCUGGUCAAUGCCAUAGGCCAGGCCCCCCUCAAAGGGCAGGUGUCGCUGCACGAUUCGGGCGGCAUCCUCUCCCACCGUGA